ACAAUAGUGGCGCCAUCUAUCCGAUCAAGAGCGAACUUGUUCCCCUGUCGUAGUCGGUUCGCUCUAGCGUCGUCGUAUCGAUGGUAGCGGGGCGAACGUUAUGACGUAACGCUAAUCAAGUAGAAUAAUAAGAAAAACUUACCGGUCGCACGCGCACCACGUCCUCGACGAAUCGCUAAUAGUUGCAUUAUACGUCCUAAUUUAGUUAAGUUCUUGCCUGAAUUGAUAACGAGUGUGAAUUUAGUGGAUAUAUGGCGAUUUAUUGGUUGUUAUCCUGUAAAUUAAAAUGCUAGUUGAUCA